AAAAUAUCUGAAACUUGUUGGGAAGUCAUGCCUUUCAGCCCAUUCUGUCGCUGGCAUUAGCAGCAUCGGACUGAUGACGAUGUACUCCGAUGCCUCUUCUACGCUGGUUCGUCUUAACAUCGGUGAUUGUAGGUUCGUGAUGACCUAGUGUCAACUUCUGCAACUUAGCCGGCGGUCUUUUUUGAUCUCAUAUACUCAGUUUCAAGCUUAAUUGCGUCUGACAGUGCUUGGAAUAGCUUUGGCUAAGCCAGACAACAAUGGAGGACUAUCUUAGGAAAAUUUAUCUGGUUGGAAGAUAUCAAUCAAAGACCCGGCUGACCUUGGGUACUUCGUUGGCGAAAAUGACAAUGCCUCUCAUUCUAGCUGUUAUAAGACGUGCCUAUGGGAACACUCAGUACUUACUAAUCUUAUGUAUUCUUGAGAAGGUGGCAUUUGCUGCAAUUUUGGGGAAUGAAUAAAACAUUGCCAUAUAUACUAUAUGGCAUUUCUUA